rnacentral:rRNA from 1 species
GAUGAACGCUGGCGGCGUGCCUAAUACAUGCAAGUCGAGCGAACAGACGAGGAGCUUGCUCCUUUGACGUUAGCGGCGGACGGGUGAGUAACACGUAGGUAACCUACCUAUAAGACUGGGAUAACUUCGGGAAACCGGAGCUAAUACCGGAUAAUAUAUUGAACCGCAUGGUUCGAUAGUGAAAGAUGGCUUUGCUAUCACUUAUAGAUGGAUCUGCGCCGUAUUAGCUAGUUGGUAAGGUAACGGCUUACCAAGGCAACGAUACGUAGCCGACCUGAGAGGGUGAUCGGCCACACUGGAACUGAGACACGGUCCAGACUCCUACGGGAGGCAGCAGUAGGGAAUCUUCCGCAAUGGGCGAAAGCCUGACGGAGCAACGCCGCGUGAGUGAUGAAGGUCUUCGGAUCGUAAAACUCUGUUAUUAGGGAAGAACAAACGUGUAAGUAACUGUGCACGUCUUGACGGUACCUAAUCAGAAAGCCACGGCUAACUACGUG